GACGUAGGAUGCAAGCGUUGUCCGGAUUUAUUGGGCGUAAAGAGUUCGUAGGUGGUUUGUUAAGUCUGAUGUUAAAGACUGGGGCUCAACCUCGGAAAUGCAUUGGAUACUGGCAGACUUGAGUGUGGUAGAGGCAAUCGGAAUUCCAGGUGUAGCGGUGAAAUGCGUAGGUAUCUGGAAGAACACCGGUGGCGCAAGCGGAUUGCUGGGCCAUAACUGACACUGAGGAACGAAAGCUAGGGGAGCGAAUGGG
rnacentral:rRNA from 1 species